GAGAUCAUACUUCACAGAAUCAUUUCUGUAGUAUGUAUUUCACUAUCUUUGCGAAAUUCGCAUCGAAGUCCUGCCGCGAUGAAGAGGUGCGGCGUCGGCUCCUGAGCGUGAAGAAGCUGAUGGGUCCUAUGUGGCACACUCAGCUUGAUGACCGCUGGAACUGCGUUUUUUACGUGGGGCCGUUGGAGUUGACGCUAGCAGAGCGGU
rfam:Syphacia muris strain Valencia genome assembly, scaffold: SMTV_scaffold0000429